UGUAAAAGACAGUACACAAUAAUUAUAAAACUAAUAUAAGUACCAAGUGGUUGAUAGAAAAUCAAGUGAGUGAGUUUUACGAAUUACCUCAAGGGCCGGAUCAAAUGGUCUCGUGGGCCGUAUACGGCCCGGAGGCCGGAGGUUCCCCACCCCUGCCAUAGAGGCUUCUUAUCUUUCAGAACAACAUUUGUAUUGAGAUCACAGGAAGCUAUUUUCUCCGAUGUCUUUGAAGUCCUGAGCUUUAAGAAAGUACAGGCACUCAAACCACCAUCAAAUGUGUUAGUGAGCACUAUUUCCAACACAAGCCUCCUGAACAGAUUCAGAGUCUCUGGAACUGUACUGCAGGGAAGAGCAGCGUUCUUCAGAAAGAAACUCCAUCAUAUGGUGAAGAGCACUCAUGUUUGUCACUACUUUGUUGCGAGGUUGCCAGGUUGUCUGCUCUCUUCCAACAAUGUAUGUGUGUUGUAUUUCAGAUGUCAGAGGUGAGCAGGAAGAGACACGGCAGCAUCAGGAGAAGGAAAGAACGAUGCAACAUGAUGCUUUCAAAUCUUCUCAUGUGCAACCUGAAAGCUUCUGCAUGUGAGGAACGGGAUGCGUUGGUGUUGAAGAUGGAAGGAUGGUGUCAGAAAAGGAAGUUGUUGUUCUUCUCCUCUCUCCUGGGGUCCAGUUUUCCCAGGAAUCCCUUGACCUAUCAGAAAGGGGGAUUCCUGGAAAUACUGUUCUUGGGGGCGGGGCUUAUCAGCAAUUCCAUAUACAGUAUGUUAUACUAUAAUUAUGUGUGCUGUGUGUAAUAAUGUUCUAAGUGUAUAUUGAAUUAGUUUGACUAUUUUAGUGUUUAGACAUGAGAGAAAUAUUAGCUGGGGUUUCCUAUCAACGUCUUCGCUCCUCCCUCAAUGUUUGGGCUUCAAUGUGAACAUUCUGAUUACUGCUCAUGGUUAAAUAAACAUUUGCAACAAAUAAAUAUUUGUAUUUAUUGUCAUUUACUGUAUAUCAAUACUGCAG
rnacentral:lncRNA from 1 species